CCUACGGGAGGCAGCAGUAGGGAAUCUUCCACAAUGGGCGAAAGCCUGAUGGAGCAACGCCGCGUGGGUGAAGAAGGUCUUCGGAUCGUAAAACCCUGUUGUUAGAGAAGAAAGUGCGUGAGAGUAACUGUUCACGUUUCGACGGUAUCUAACCAGAAAGCCACGGCUAACUACGUGCCAGCAGCCGCGGGAAUACGGAGGUGGCAAGCGUUAUCCGGAUGUAUUGGGCGUAAAGGGAACGCAGGCGGUCUUGUAAGUCUGAUGUGAAAGGCAUCGGGUUAACCGGGGUAGUGCAUUGGAAACUGGGAGACUUGAGUGCAGUAGAGGUGGGGGGAACUCGAGGUGUAGCGGUGAAAUGCGUAGAGAUAUGGAAGAACACCAGUGGCGAAGGCGGCUCUCUGGUCUGUAACUGACGCUGAGGUUCGAAAGCGUGGGUAGCAAACAGGAUUAGAUACCCUUGUAGUC
rnacentral:rRNA from 1 species